GUGGUUAUCUACAUAUUGCUUUUGUUGAUUUUAUGCAAUAAGAAGGUCAUAUUGUACCUCUUGUAAGGCCAUUGUAAGUUAUUAUAUAAACUCCUCUAUUAUUGGAUUGUUGGUGUUGAUAGGAUGAUAGAAGGUUGCUAACAUAAUUGAAUGGUGGCUCUUAUUAGGAAAAAAAUAGUGAAUGAUCUAUACUUACUUA
rnacentral:lncRNA from 1 species